ACUUGAGAGCAUUAGAAAGCUGUCAAGGCAAGUAGGACUUAAGGGGGCAAGACCCUGGAGACCAGAAGAUUACAAAAUACAAGGCCUGGCAUUCUGUAUGGAAUUUCCUUUCUGAAAUCACCAUAUUCUAAGCUGCUAAGGAGUGAAUGACCAAGAAAUGAAAACAGUAGCCAGGAAGCUAAACCCUAAGCCCAGCAAAGUAGAACCACGAGCUCCCACAGAGAUUCUUCAGGGCUCUGCUUCAAGAGUAGCCCACGACUCUGAAAAUGGGCAGACACAAGACAUUCCAUCUCUAAGUGCAUCCCAGUGAGCUGCAAUGCCUGUGACUGCAUCCUAGGGGAAGGCUCCAGGCAAAGCAUACAUUAUUUCUAUGUCUCAAAUUCUUAACUCUAAUGAAUAUGGUUAGGGAAUUAGAUGGCAAGGUGGAAAAUUUUACCCAAGAAUUGGAAUCUAGAUGAUGAAACCAGAAGGAACUUCUAGAUCUGUAAUUACUUAUAAUCCAGUUGAGGUGUUAUUAAACACCUCAGAAACUGUAGGGAGGGGCAUUCAUAAACUGAAUUACAGGUCAGGAGCAAAUUAAUGCAAGUAAGAGGGAGGAGCCACGAGGAUUCUCUAAAACGAUCAUCCCACUGCUAGAAGGGGCGGAGAAUAAGAGACUGGCCUGUCUUGGAGGGGGAAGGAGGUGCAGCCCUCUGCUGGUUUGUGUCCGUGGGCCCUCUUCACAUCUGUGCUUCUCUGUGUUUGAGGGGUGUCUUCCUCUGAACUGUGACUGCUGGCAUUCUGUGGCUGAAGAGCCAGAGGAAACACAAAGGACUUGGAAGCCACAGUGAAACGCCCAAGCCCACAAGCGGAGUUCUCUGUGUUCCGGACUCCUUGCCUUUCCUGCUCCUAAAGAUGCAAUGUCACUUUGGAGCUCAAAGUGCAAGACCGAUCUCGAACCAGUGCCUUACGCCUCUGGCUGACAUCAACGCCGUGUCCCUCAGUGUCUUUCCGUGUCGGCACUCUACUUCCCAUUUUUACAUGAAUGAAUUCUGGAUGCUGUCGUAAACCUUGAAAUGAGGACUGUUCCAACCUGGGUCUGUGGCAUAGAGAUGCUGCUGUUCUGAUCUGGAUGUCGGAUUCCAGUAAUACACGCAGGCGGGUAAGAAUACGUAUAUCCAAGUUUAUAAUCCCAGUCUCCCACUUUAUACCCAGAGUCCCCAAAUUAUAAAACCAGCCUGAUGUGAGAAAUGCUUUAGAAAGCAUUUCCAUUAAAAAAAAUUAAUAUAAAGCUAAAAGAAGACCUGUAUGAUUUUGACAGAGUUUAUUAAUGUAAUUUAUUAAAACUCUAAUCUUGAUUCUAUUGGAUUCGCAUACACAUCAGGGUGAUU
rnacentral:lncRNA from 1 species